UUCCAUGGCUUCGUUUUUAGAAUUUUGUGGAUUAACCAGCAUGCCCUAGCAUCAAAACCAGAACUGCCAUGCCCAUUCCACAAACAGACACUAGUACAGGUACCACGAGGGGCUAUCCUACUUUAGGAACAGUAAAGGACGAUCCCUUGUUCUGCACUGCAGAAAGAUCACAAAAACAAAUAACAAGUAACAGGUCUAACAUAGUCGCCACCAACGCGACCUGCAGGCAGGUCCAACGACCCCCACAGCAAAGACGGUCAAAUCUCGGGUGGCUUUCCCAGUGAACAGUUGCAUCUCUCCCGGCCGCAAACAGUAUCAUCCUUCAGUGUCUUCCCCUUCGUCAACCUCCUCGCAGUAACCUUCUCACCAGUAACCCAAACCCAGAACCGAGAUUUCGAGCAAUAGAGCCGUCAGAUCUCAGUCCCGGAGUGCUUCCCAAAACCACCAGAGGUUUCAACCACCUUAACGGCUUCAGUACUCGGGUUGGCGGUCGUUCCUCCAGUUCCCAGAGCUGGGUCCUCCACGGCCACCGUAGCCGCCACCACCACCGCCUCCGUAGCCUCCACCACGGCUUCCUCCAUAACCACUACCUUCACGGUCACCUCCUCCACGGCUUCCACCGUAACCUCCUCCAUAGCCACCUCCUCCUUGCUCUCUGCGGCCGUAGCCACCACCGCCGCCACCGCCACCACCGCCUCCACCACGAGACUGGGCUUGGUUGACGGUGAUGUUGCGACCGUCCAACUCCUGGCCGUUCAUCUCCUUGAUGGCAGCGUUCAUUGAGUUCUCAUCGGCGAAAGUAACAAACCCAAACCCGCGAGACCUUCCGGUCUCCCUGUCAGAGAUCACCUUACUCUGCACAACCUCGCCGAAGGGACGGAACGCACCCUCCAGGCGGCCGUCGGUAGUGGCCCAGGCCAACCCUCCGACAAAGCACCUGAAUUCUUCUCCACCGGCCAUCUUGGUAGAGUGAAAGCUGCGGAACAAGAAACAAGUCACAAGAGACCAGUAAAGUAACAAGAGGCGCAGGGAAGAAGGUAUCCCUGGAGGCCUCUGAGAAGAGAGCGAAGCGGACCGGGACGAAGGAAUGGGAGAGCACUACUCGAUACAUCGCAACGACGAGCUUAUGAGGGGGACGGGUGGGCGCCCCUACCGUCGGCCGACUCGCGGUCGGUCCAGCGAGUUAGUGCCAUCAGAGCCCAACAUCCGGUGGUCGCGCCUACUGCCUCUUCUGACGCGGCUGCUGCAUCGGGACCGUCAGAUGCAUCCUAUUCUGGUGGGAGAU
rnacentral:lncRNA from 1 species